UGUAAGCGUAUACCAAAGUUGUUGCAGUUAAAACGCUCGUAGUCGGAAUUUGGCAGUUCCGGAAGUGUGCACGUCGUGUGCGCACUUUGCGGGGACUGCUUUUGUGGUCUUGCGUAGGAUGAGGCACUUUCAUUAGUGAACGUCCUCACGCAACCACUCUUUACUGUGAGAAAAUCAGAGUGCUCAAAGCAGGAAUUUGCCGUGAAUGUAUUAGCAUGGAAUAAUAGAAUAGGACUCGGUUCUAUUUUGUUGGUUUGUUGGGACUGAGUAAUGAUUAAGAGGGACAGUUGGGGGCAUUUGUAUUCCGGCGCUAGAGGUGAAAUUCUUAGAUUGCCGGAAGACAAACUGCUGCGAAAGCGUCUGCCAAGGAUGUUUUCAUUGA
rnacentral:rRNA from 1 species